rnacentral:lncRNA from 1 species
UUCUUACACACCCAUCACCAUUUCUAUCACCUUUCAAAAUAAAUGUUUUGUUGAUAGAAAAUUCACAUCAACCAACACAAAACAAAGACUUUAUGAAAUCAACCAAAACUUUGAAUCAAAACACCAAACUUUUUGUUCUUGACUAAAAUGUCAAGAACAAUGAAGAACAUUCAUGAAAAACCCAUAAAAGCUUCAUGAACAUUUUUCAUCCAAAGACAUCCCAAAAACACUCAAACUUAAGGGAAAUAACAUAUAACCAAACUAGGGUACAUAGGGGUUCCAAAAAGUUACUUGAAAACACUUUUAACAAGUCAAACAAGAACCCAAAAAAUCACCCUUUGGAUUUGGCCGAAAAUCCCCAAAAACUUGGCACCAAAUUUUAGCUCCAAUAUUCAUGCUCAUAUGAACUACAUCUACAACAUUUGAGAUGGCAAAUUUUCUAACAAAAUUUACAUUCAAAGAAACAAGAAUAAAGCUUGUAACAUAUUACAACUUUUAAAUCAAAACUAUGAACUACAAAACCCAAAAGGAUUCACCAACUACUAGACCUAGGCUCUGAUACCUGAUGUGUAAAUUAACUAGCACUCAAAUUAAACCCUCUUUUUAUCAAUUGUAGCAAUGUAUGUAAGUAGGGAUCGUUCUAGACCAGGGAUUAGGAAGGAUUGCAAAAUCACUUGGACAUGACUCAAAAACGUAAAAACAAGUUUUAAACACUAAAAUAGACUCAAAGAAUGCAAAACUAAACUUUAAAACACCAAAACAAACCAAAAGACUCAAAACAGCACCAAAACACUCAAAACUGCCUUAAAAACACAAUCUGGGCAGUUUUGGACACUAAGCACCAAAUUGGACGAAUUUGGGUUUUAACUUGAAUCAAAACACUUAAAAACACAAAGUAAAACACUUACUAACUAAUUUGACACUUUAAAACAAAGGGGGAUUGGUUUUGGACGAAUUUAAAAACAAAACAAACUUUGUAAAUUAGAACAGAUUAUAAAAACGAAUUUGAUUUAAAUGGGUGAAUGGAAGGCUAGCUAAGGGGUUCAUCUCCACACAUGUUAUACUUGCAUACAAAACGAUUUCCAAUUGCUUUUCAAUAAACCAUGAAUUCUCAAUGCCCCAAGUUAAUUAGGUCCGCUUAAAUUAACCUUCAGAUUUUCCUAACGUUAUUGAAUUGGAUGAUUGCAUACGACAACCCAAAACAUUCCCCACAAGUCCCCUACAUGAUUGCAUAAUAGAGAUACAAGCAAGAAUCAUUAAGUUCUAUGAAAACCAUAAGCAUUGACGAAGCACUUGUUACUAUGAUUGCAUGAAACUUAUGCCAAGAAUUUACUUAACGCGAUUGAGAUCAUCAACCUUUACUACUUGUGAAUAUAAUUCCAUAACGAUUAGGUGAAAUUUCCUUAUAUCCUAGCAUUCAAUUUAUGCAUGAUAAUUAAGCGUGCACUCUCAACCAACACACACAAAUCAAUGUAAUCCACAUAGAUAAGUAAAUUGAAUUCACAACUUAUGAAACGCAAUUAGAAGUAAUCAAAUCAUAACGCAAGCAUAAACAUGUAUUUCGAAUCCCCCCCUAGCCAAGGGGGGUUUAGUUCCUCAUACGCACAAAACAAAGAGAAUUGAAUUUAAACAUUGAAAUCAAAGGAAAAGAAACACCUAGAAAUUCCAGCGACGCGAACUUGAAUUGCAUGAACUUCCGAGCUUCCUUCUCCUCCUCCUUGGUGCGGCAAGGGUCUAGGGACAGGUUUAGAGCCUUAGGGUAUGGAUGCAUGGUAUGGAGGGAUGUAGUAGUGUUUAGGGGAAGGGAAUGGUGCGGCAAAGGUGUGGAGAGAGUUUGGACGAAUUUCUGGAGUGAUUUGUGAAUUGUGGUGAGUGGUGAUCUGAUUUAGGGGUUAAUAGGAGUAUAUAUAGGCACUUAAAACCCUAGGGUAAUCAGAUAUGGACUUGGAUAACCCAAAUCACAAGGAAAUAGGUCUAAACAAUCAGAUUUUGCAAGGGAAAAGGGGGUCCUAGGUGCGGCAGGGAUAGGAUAAGGUGAUAAGGUUUCUAGAAUGCCUUGCAAGGCAAGGAACUAGGCAUCUAGAAGCUAGGGUGCGGCACCAAUGUAGGGAUUUAAGGGAGAGGGCUUCUAGAAAGCCCCAAAACUGAUAGGAAAUUGCAUGAAAUCCACGGCAAGGAUGUAAACUUUCUAGAAACUUCUCAUUUGUGUCCUACAACACUUAGGAGUCCUUCUAGCAUUAGGAAAACAUGUCUCAAUCCUCCCUUGACUUGGAAUUCUUCUCCUUCUUGGAUUUGGAAAACUUCUUUGUUGCUGAAACUUGAUGCCAUUUGGAUUUAACUUUCCUACUUCAAGUAGGAAACCUUGUUUGAGUAGGAAUCUUCAUCUUCAAGGAAUCCUAAUUCAACUAGGAAACCCAUUUUGACUAGGAAUCCUAAUUCAACUAGGAUUCCAUCUUCACUUAGGCGCUUUCCUACUUUGACUAGGAAACCUUGUUCAAGUAGGAAACAUCAUCUUCAAAUCUUCAAUUUCGUCCAUCCUCUUGGCUCCAAGCAUAUGACAUUCAUUCCAAGCUCAACUUUGCUCCAAAAGGCUCCAAAAUGCAUCAUUUUGCAUACUUUGCCCUUAGAACCUGAAAACACAUAAAACUAGCUUAAAAGACUACUUUACUAAGCAAAAACACUAUAAAAGUACAAGAACGAGCUAAACUAAGGCGCAUAAAUAUGCUCCUAUCAAAUUCCCCCACACUUAGCUUUUGCUAGUCCUCGAGCAAAACAAAACGAAACAAAAGAACAAAACGAAAUAAAACAAGUAAAACAACCUAAACCUUCCAACAAUCGCCUCAGGGAUUUCCAAUGCACAUGACAUGUUAAAAAUCAUCAUUCCCACAGAUUUUAGCCAUCUUUACACUCAAGCCCAUACUUAAUCAUAGUCACUACUUACUAGUUCACAUUUAACCAACUAAAAUAAUGUUUUGAAUGUAGUAACAUGCCUUAGAGAAUCCCUCAAUUCCUUACUAGAUAUGCACUCUAUUUUCACUCAGAUUGUCUAACUACACACCCUACACUAGUUAUAUGUGAGAAGAUUGAUGUAAAAAUAAAAACGAAUGCUCACAUAUAUGUAUAACAAAGAAAGCAAUUUCCGGAGUUAAUAACAUGUUUAUAAAUAUGAUCUCAUGAAUGGAAUGCUACUACUUAGAUGCGAGAACCAAUGACACCAUAUGCUCAAACCAAUUUCAAACUCCACAAAUUGAAACACACAACACUCAAGAUUAAAGUCAAGGGUUGUAACGGGGCUCAAGGUAUUGGCUAACAAAAACAGAUAUGGAAAACAAACGUUCUUUAAAACAAUAGUAGGCAAAGUGUGGAAAUCGAAACUUAGAAUUCUCUUUAGCAUGCCGAAAUCAAAUUCAAAACAGAAGGGAAGACUCAAACAAUCAAUUAGGGCCGAAUGCAACUCUUUGGACCCUUUCUUCAACAAACAACACUUUGGAACUCUUUUUCACAUGCUCAUCAACUAUUUUGCAUGUUUUUCACAUUUUUCUUUUUUUCUUUCUAUUUUUCACGAUUUUUUUUUUUCUUUCUUUUCUCAUUUUUUCUCUUCUUUGCCGUGCCUCAUUCAAGACUUUGGCACAUCCCUAUAUCAUUAAUCCUUCCCCCACACUUGUUUCCCGCACAUAUUGAUCAAAAGGAAUUCAUCUUCCGUUAUGCUUUACUAUGUUUUAAGAACAAGGGUGUGGAUGGUCCUAAUCUAGGCUAGGUGAGGAUAAUGUGGUUAACAAGGGAAAUAGGCUAAACGAGGCUCAACGGGGUUAACACCUACAAAACAUAAUGGAAUAGGGAUAUACGGCUUUUGGGCUAUGGUGGACACUACACAACUUAAUCUUGAAUAUGUGUUAUGCAAAUCAAUGACAUGUUUUGAAUGAAAUGGGCAUGAGUUCUAGUGUUUGGUUCUAAGUGAUGAAACGCCUUCUAAGUAGCAACCAAGCAAAGAAUAAUGAGAUCAUGCAACGACUUUAGAAAACAAAGAAUGCACAGAUUUUAACUCUCCAAAUAAACGUUUAGGCUCAAGUCUCACAAGGUUGUAGCGUUAGUUUGAGUUACUUCCUUCAAGCAUGUUACAAAAACGGAUUUUUACUUUAUGAUUACAUGUGAAUUCAUAAGUUAUAACCACAACCAAGCAUAAACCAAAGAGUAAAUCAAACUUUUAUCCAUGUUUAUAACUCUCUUUAACCAUCAUGCAAUUACAAACCGAAUCCUCAUCAUUGUGUUGGAAGGUACCCUAAGACACAAACAAACACACAAAAACGACUCUUUUUGGGGUUUUUUUAAAACAAAUUUUCAAAUUUUUAUGGGAUUUUCGGAUUUUUGACUCAAAACACAUUAAAACACACCAAAACAGCUUAAAAAGGCUUAAAAACAGCAAGAAACAACAUUUGAAAUUAUGGGUGAUAAAACCCUACGAAUUUGUAUCAAAACACUUUGGUUACCCCCCCACACUUAAAUCAAACAUUGUCCUCAAUGUUGCAAGCAUAAACUAACACAAAUAACAAACAAACACACAAAACAGCAACUAAACAACCUAACAUGGCAGAAACGAAAUAACAACAAAGAGAAGGGUUUAGGAACGCAAAUCUGGAAUUGGAGUGCUCUCUAGGUCUUCCUUUGUUGAAUGCGUGGGUUGCCUCCCAAGAAGCGCUUUCUUUAACGUCUUGCAGCCGGACGAUGCUCCAUUGAAGGUUUAUGGAACCCCACGGCAUGGAGGGGUGUUUCCACAACCUGUCCUACGAAAUACUUCAUUCUUUGGGUCCUUGAAUGGGAUGGGAUAAUGAUCCUUUCUUAUUGUCAUGUUUUGCUUCUCUGAAUCAACACGAACUCUCCCACCACGUUGUCUUCGAUUAGGUACCUGCACCAUACAAGGUAACAACCUAUUAGUUGAAAUGGGAAUCGAAUUUGGAAUAGGUGGCUUACCUUUGUACGGCAAAGAAGUGGUAGCACUAUGGACAGAUGCACAAGGGUUGCACUCGGGCAGAUUUGAUGAUUUCAAGGUUGGAGCCGUGCACUCUUUGUUGUUCACUCCAAUUCCUUCCUCGAUGGUGGGUUGUGGUACAUUCUUCUUGACUAGUGUUGAAUAUUCCUGCCCUAUAUUUUCAAUUACAUUAAUAGCACAACAAGAACGAACAUCAUUAGUAUUCUCAACCGAUUCAGAAAUCUUAAAGUUAAUCAUAUCACCACCAAAUGCCAUAGUUACUGCUCCCUUGGCCACGUCAAUCUUGGUUUGAGCAGUUUUCAUGAAUGGUCGUCCAAGUAAGAGUGGUGAUGGUGGAGAGUGGGUUGAGUCCUCCAUAUCAAGCACAUAGAAAUCUGCAGGAAAAAUCAAAUGGUCUACCUGCACCAAAACAUCUUCCAACACUCCUUUGGGAUAUGCAUUAGAUCGAUCGGCUAAUUGAAUAAUAACACCAUCAUUUUUAAGCUUCCCUAGAUUCAUAGAUGCAUAAACAGAAUAUGGCAUGACAUUUAUAGAUGCACCUAGAUCUAACAUAGCAUGAUCAAACCUCGUAUUGCCAAUAACACAAGGGAUAGUGAAACUACCUGGAUCUUUGCAUUUAGGUGGUAACUUUCUUUGCAACAAUGCAGAUACAUUCUCACUUACGUGUACCACCUCUUUCUCCCGAAUCCGUUUCCUUGUUGUACAAAGCUUCUUCAAAAACUUGGCAUACUUCGGGAUUUGCUUUAUAGCAUCGAGGAGAGGGAUAUUGACAUGCACAUUUCUAAACGUCUCAAGAACGUCUUGUUCCUCUUCUUCGUUCUUGGCUUGCAAAAAUCUGCUAGGAAAGGGUACAUCCGGAGGAAUAACAUUAGAAUUAACUUGAAUUGUACCUGCCUUACCUUUAUUGGCCAAAUUGGAUGGCCUGGGUGGUUGAGGCAAGGAUUGCUCAAUCCUUGCCGUGGCUUUUGCUUGCUCCUCCUCUUCCAUUUGCAGCUUCUCGUUCUCCUUGAGGGCAGAUUUGGAUGGUUUUGGCUCGUUUCCUACUUCUUUCCCACUUCUUAGCGUGAUAGCCUUGGCAGUUUCGACUCCUCCCCUCGGAUUGACAACCGUUGAACUAGGCAACCUUCCUUGCUCACGAAAUUGCCCCAUGAACUCGGCAAUUUGUCCUACUUGCUUCUCCAACUCAUCCAUCCUUUUGUCUCUAUUUUGCAUACCUUGCGCCAUAGAAGUUAGUAAUUGAAAAAUCUGAUCAUUAUCAAUGGACGAACCUGAAUUGGUUUGGGUAGGUUGUGUGGGUGCAAACGGCUUUUGAUAGAAACCCGGAGGUUGUUGCCUAAAUGUGCUUUGUUGUUGGCCUUGUUGAGGGUCUCGCCAUUUGAAAUUCGGAUGAUCACGCCAACCGGGAUUGUAUGUAUUAGAAAAAGGGUCAUUCCUCGGUUGGUAUUGGUUGCCAAAACCCACGACAUUGAGGGUCUCCCACCCUCCAUUCUCAAUCAAUUGUGGGCACUUGUCCGUAGGGUGUCCUUGCAUGGAACAUACGCCACACGCACUUACAUUUUGAACUUUUGGCCCUUCCACAACCUGAGAAAGCAAAGUAGUAAGGUUAGCCAUUUGAUUUUGAAGUUCGGUUAUGGCACUUACCUCAUUCACUUGGUGUUGCCGUGUGGUGCCUCUUUGUCCAACACCUUCGUAUUGUUGAGCGUUCAACGCUCGAUUGGCAAUCAAAGUCUUUGCUGCCGUAGGGGUCUUGUCCACCAACGCUCCUCCCGCCGAGGCAUCUAGCAUUUGUCGUUCGAUGGUAGAAGUCCCUCGUAGAAGUAUUGCAGAAGAAGCUCCUCUUUCAUUUGAUGCUGUGGACAAGAAGCAACAAGAGAUUUAAAACGUUCAUAGUAUGUAGGAAAAGACUCACCUUCUUCUUGUUGAAUUCCACUUAUCCUUUUUCGUAGGAGAAUAACUCGAGAAGUUGGAAAAAACUUCUCCAAGAAAGCUCGUUUCAUGCUCUCCCAUGAUGUGACAGUUCCGGGAGCCAAUUCGUACAACCAAUCUUUCGCCUUCUCUAAGAGAGAAAAGGGAAAGGUCUUCAUCUUCAAGAUGCUCUCAUCCACGUUCACCGGAGUCAUGCUUGAGCAAACGACUUCAAAUUCCUUCAAGUGCUUGUUCGGAUCUUCCAUGGACAGCCCAUGGUACUUCGGAAUGUGAUGUAACAAGCUUGACUUCAAUUCGAACUCGGCAGUUUUGUCCGGAGCCGCCCUAGGGUAUUAAAUACAUAGAGGUGCGGCAUUGUCCAAUCCCGAAGCGGAAAGCUCCUUGAUCGUUCGGUUGUCCACUGCCAUGUCUUCCACUUCCUCUUCAAAUUCAGAAACGGACUUGGAACUUGCACUUGAUUUACUAGGUUCCGGGUUCUUCCUCUUUCGUCUCAACUCACGCUCAAAAUCGUCGUCAAAGUCUAAAAUAUGUUCGUGAACCGGAUUAGAACUCCGAGUCAUAAACAAGUACCCAAAACAAGAAACAAAAUAACAUAAGAAUCUGAUCUAAUAAGAAAACGAAAAUAACAAUCCAAGGGAUUAGCAAAGUUGCUAAUCCCCAGCAACGGCGCCAAAAUUUGAUGUGUAAAUUAACUAGCACUCAAAUUAAACCCUCUUUUUAUCAAUUGUAGCAAUGUAUGUAAGUAGGGAUCGUUCUAGACCGGGGAUUAGGAGGGAUUGCAAAAUCACUUGGACAUGACUCAAAAACGUAAAAAACAAGUUUUAAACACUAAAAUAGACUCAAAGAAUGCAAAACUAAACUUUAAAACACCAAAACAAACCAAAAGACUCAAAACAGCACCAAAACACUCAAAACUGCCUUAAAAACACAAUCUGGGCAGUUUUGGACACUAAGCACCAAAUUGGACGAAUUUGGGUUUUAACUUGAAUCAAAACACUUAAAAACACAAAGUAAAACACUUACUAACUAAUUUGACACUUUAAAACAAAGGGGGAUUGGUUUUGGCCGAAUUUAAAAACAAAACAAACUUUGUAAAUUAGAACAGAUUAUAAAAACGAAUUUGAUUUAAAUGGGUGAAUGGAAGGCUAGCUAAGGGGUUCAUCUCCACACAUGUUAUACUUGCAUACGAAAUUUCCAAUUGCUUUUCAAUAAACCAUGAAUUCUCAAUGCCCCAAGUUAAUUAGGUCCGCUUAAAUUAACCUUCAGAUUUUCCUAACGUUAUUGAAUUGGAUGAUUGCAUACGACAACCCAAAACAUUCCCCACAAGUCCCCUACAUGAUUGCAUAAUAGAGAUACAAGCAAGAAUCAUUAAGUUCUAUGAAAACCAUAAGCAUUGACGAAGCACUUGUUACUAUGAUUGCAUGAAACUUAUGCCAAGAAUUUACUUAACGCGAUUGAGAUCAUCAACCUUUACUACUUGUGAAUAUAAUUCCAUAACGAUUAGGUGAAAUUUCCUUAUAUCCUAGCAUUCAAUUUAUGCAUGAUAAUUAAGCGUGCACUCUCAACCAACACACACAAAUCAAUGUAAUCCACAUAGAUAAGUAAAUUGAAUUCACAACUUAUGAAACGCAAUUAGAAGUAAUCAAAUCAUAACGCAAGCAUAAACAUGUAUUUCGAAUCCCCCCCAAGCCAAGGGGGGGUUUAGUUCCUCAUACGCACAAAACAAAGAGAAUUGAAUUUAAACAUUGAAAUCAAAGGAAAAGAAACACCUAGAAAUUCCAGCGACACGAACUUGAAUUGCAUGAACUUCCGAGCUUCCUUCUCCUCCUCCUUGGUGCGGCAAGGGUCUAGGGACAGGUUUAGAGCCUUAGGGGUAUGGAUGCAUGGCUAUGGAGGGAUGUAGUAGUGUUUAGGGGAAGGGAAUGGUGCGGCAAAGGUGUGGAGAGAGUUUGGACGAAUUUCUGGAGUGAUUUGUGAAUUGUGGUGAGUGGUGAUCUGAUUUAGGGGUUAAUAGGAGUAUAUAUAGGCACUUAAAACCCUAGGGUAAUCAGAUAUGGACUUGGAUAACCCAAAUCCACAAGGAAAUAGGUCUAAACAAUCAGAUUUUGCAAGGGAAAAGGGGUCCUAGGUGCGGCAGGGAUAGGAUAAGGUGAUAAGGUUUCUAGAAUGCCUUGCAAGGCAAGGAACUAGGCAUCUAGAAGCUAGGGUGCGGCACCAAUGUAGGGAUUUAAGGAGAGGGCUUCUAGAAAGCCCCAAAACUGAUAGGAAUUGCAUGAAAUCCACGGCAAGGAUGUAAACUUUCUAGAAACUUCUCAUUUGUGUCCUACAACACUUUGGAGUCCUUCUAGCAUUAGGAAAACAUGUCUCAAUCCUCCCUUGACUUGGAAUUCUUCUCCUUCUUGGAUUUGGAAAACUUCUUUGUUGCUGAAACUUGAUGCCAUUUGGAUUUAACUUUCCUACUUCAAGUAGGAAACCUUGUUUGAGUAGGAAUCUUCAUCUUCAAGGAAUCCUAAUUCAACUAGGAAACCCAUUUUGACUAGGAAUCCUAAUUCAACUAGGAUUCCAUCUUCACUUAGGCGCUUUCCUACUUUGACUAGGAAACCUUGUUCAAGUAGGAAACAUCAUCUUCAAAUCUUCAAUUUCGUCCAUCCUCUUGGCUCCAAGCAUAUGACAUUCAUUCCAAGCUCAACUUUGUUCCAAAAGGCUCCAAAAUGCAUCCUUUUGCAUACUUUGCCCUUAGAACCUGAAAACACAUAAAACUAGCUUAAAAGACUACUUUACUAAGCAAAAACACUAUAAAAGUACAAGAACGAGCUAAACUAAGGCGCAUAAAUAUGCUCCUAUCAAUACCACUUGAAGGAAAUUUUGUGAAAAACAUGUUCAUUUAAGCAACAUCUAUAGCAUGCAAUUAACUAUUAAAAGGUGGAAUCAUGCUUGUAUGCACUUAAAAACAAAACAUUAACCAUGAAAUUCAAAGCCUAGUAGAUUGGUGAACCAAGACUCAACUCAAAACAAAGUGAGUUGAGAAAUUUAUACCUUUGUUGAUUCCUCUUUGCAUAAGCAAAGGAUAAUCACCCAAGAGAUAGGGCCUUCAUUUCUUGCUUCUUAGAUCCAUGGAUUUGGAUGGAAGAAUAGGUUUCUCCAAGUUCCCAAAAUUGAGAACCUCUAAGUCUCUUCACCAAGGUUAGAUUGGAGAAAAAAUGAGUGACCUUGGAGUAGUAGGAUUGCUAGCUACACCCUCCAAGGAGGCCGACCUCUUUAGAGAGAAAGGGAGAGACAUGUUCUCUCCAAUUUUCUCCAAAAGAAAACCUUAAUGAAUUUAGGCUAUAAAGUCCUUUAUAUAGUCCCUUCAAAUAAAUGACCUAAAGAACCAAAAAGCCAUUCUUUUAACAUGGCUGGCCAAUUGAGGGAUUUGGGCUUUUGGGCCCUUGUGAAUCUUUAUUCAUUAAGUUGUCAUACAACUUAAGUCCAUGGGCUUUGACGUUCGUAACCCAUUGGGCCUUAAGGUCCAAAACUAUCCCGAGGUCUUCAACGAACUUAUUCGUUUGAUUAAUUAACAUAUUAAUUAAUCCUUGCCAUAAAUAAUUAAACCAUUUAAUUAUUCUUACUCAUCUCCAUUGUUUCUUCAAUCUCCACCUUACACGGUGUACGAUCCAUUAGGGCUUCCACAAACCAUGAGUGACACCUAGCAGCAUAUCAUGGUUACCCAAGCUAAUCAGAAGAGGUGGAGAACCUAUUCAGUUUAGGAUUACAAAUGCAAUACGGUCUUUCUCUAAUACAAUACUCUUGACCACAUUGUUUGAUUUGAUAGUUUAUUCAUGUCUACUAUCCAAUGUGAUUCGUGUGCUUAUAUGAUUACCUUGAAUGUAAUUUGGAACGACUUCCUAAAUCUCAUUCAUACUCUGGCCAGAGAUUCUUAAUCAUAUCAUAGAGUAUUCUCCCCAAAUGGUUUAAAGGUUAGAGAUCCCUUGUUGCACAUUCACUCGCCUCCAUGGCUAAGUGGCUUAACCCCAACUAUGUCGUGGACACCCUCAAAUGGAGUGACUUUAACAUAAUCAAAGAUCAAGGACUUAACCACAAGACAACUAUGAUGCCUCAGGUCAAAUGACUACUUUGCAUUAUCACAACCAUGAGUUCUCAUGUGACAUGAGUAUGAGAACUCCUCGUUGAUCGUGUUCAGUGGACUCAUUCGCUAUUGAGCACCUACAUGCUUGUCUUGGUGUCAAUCACACCAAUGACUCGAGACUAGUCACUCUCACUAAGAGAAGACAUAGCAUGUACUGAUCUUAACGGACUGUCAAUGCCCAAUUAGCAAUCCUAUGAUCAGGAACGUUUAGGAUAUGUAUACGAAAGAGAAUGGUCUCAUUAAUCUAACUUGUUUAAAUCACAUUCUCCUAAUUACAUAUUCCCUGGACUUAUCGUUUAAGCAUAUAACAUUUAUAUGAGAUGGCUUAAAACAAUAAUCUUUGCCCUUGAUAUUAAACUAGAUUAGUUUAACAUGUGAAAUGUCCGUAAAGUAUCAUCAUAUGAUUGGUUUUAGGGCACAUUUCCAACAGAUUUUUAUAGAGGUACGCAGGACGUUCAAAGCAUACUUGAAUUUCUGCCUGUAGAAACUCCAUUCUUGCACUUCUACGAUUUUGACUUGUCCGACCUCUUUUUUCUUUAACACCUUUGAAAAUGUCUGGCCCCUCCAACCGUCGUUUUGACUUAAACCUUGAUGAAGAGGCAAUCCCGCCUUCUCCAGACAACAUAUGGUGCCCAUCCUUCAUAUCCCCUACUGGUCCCCUUACCGUUAGGAUUCGGUGAUGAAGAAUGAUAUGACAGCUAUGGUGGUGGCCAUGAACCUUGUCACUCCCAAAGAUAACAAACUACUUGCCAAACAGUCUGAUGAGUUGGCUAUUAAGGAUUCUCUGGCUCUCAGUGUGCAAUGCGCAGGUUCCGUGUCUAAUAUGGCCCAAAGCCUAUUUGCCUGAACCCGUCAAGUUGAAUCAUUGGCGGCUAAAGUGAUGAGUCUCAAGCAGGAGAUUAGAGGGCUUAAGCAUGAGAAUAAACAGUUGCAUAGGCUCGCACAUAACUAUGCUACAAACAUGAAGAGGAAGAUUGACCAUAUGCAGGAAUCUGAUGGUCAGAUUUUACUUGAUCAUAAGAGGUUUGUGGGUUUGUUCCAACAACAUUUGCCUUCGUCUUCUGGGGCUGUACCGUGUAAUGAAGCUCCAAAUGAUCAACCUCCGAUGCCUCCUCCUUAUGGGGCUCCGUCGACUACUGAGACUUCUCCUAAGCAGCCUUUGUGAAGGCUCCCUCUUGUAUUUAUCUGCUUAAUGUUCCUUUCUUUUUUAUGAAUGUAAAAAUACCUUGCAUAACUGUCAACGUUUCAAAAAUAAACCCACACCAAAAACAAUUAAACAAGCAACAAAUAAAAAUGACAAUCAUGGCAAAAUAAAACUACAGAAAAGGGAAGGUUUUUAGAAACGUAAAACUGAUUGUGGAGCAAUUCAAAAAUCUUCCUUAUUUGAAUACAUGGGUUGCCUCCCAAGAAGCGUUUGCUUUAACGUCUUCCAGUCGGACGAAACUUCCUUCUAAACUUGGAUAGGGCCCAUAGCAUGGAAUUGAUCCUUAAAUGGACGGUGAUACUUGACAUGAUCCGGCAAUGGUUUAAAUUCUAGUGUAGGUGCCUGAAUCAUCAAAAUCAGCAAGUUAGUAUAUAAUAAAAUUGAAGUUGGAGAAGAUGGCUUACUUGCUUGCUCCAACACAAACUCAAUUAUGAACACCACAUCUUUGAAGGUUGCAGGGAUAUGGGACUUGGCCAGAUUUGGUGUUUUGAGAGUUAUGACUUGUCCCGUGUCAUAAAAUCCAACUUCUUUGGGAAUUUUUGUCUCAAAUGUAUCUUCUUUGAUGAAUUCUAGACAUUCAUCAUCCACUUCUUGCUUUUGAUUCUUUGGAAAGGUUUCAAAGAUGCCUUUCUCACCCGCUUCUUCCUUGGAUUGCAUGAUCCUGCAAGGAAUAAGGACAUUUGGUGAAACGGGGUCAGGACAAAUUGAAUUUAGGCUUACCUUGGUUGUAAUGGAAGGCAUAGAGGGCAUAUGGGGCUGCGGCAAGGGUGGUUCUUCCCUUGCCAUGGCCUUGUUAUUCUCCUUUUCUUCGAGCAGCAGUUGUUCAUCCAUGUUUUGGCUUGGUUUGGAUGUCUUGGGUUCACCUCCAACCUCCAUAGCACUUCCCAAAGUGAUAGCAUCAUGGAUUUCAAAAUCUUCUUUCAAAUUUUCAAUAGUUGAGUUGGAGAGUUCACAUUACUCUUGAAUUUGUGCCAUGAACCCCAUAAUCUGCCCACUUUGCUUCUCCAAUUCACCCAUCUUCUUGGCUUGAUUUUGCAUCUCUUUGUUUCCAUUUUCAACUUCCUGGUUCAAAGAGGUGAGUAACUUAUUAAACAUAUCAUUAUCCAAAGACGUACCUGAAUUGAAUUGGAUAGAUUGUUGUAGUGGUUGCAUAGGUUUUGAAUAGAACUCCUCUUCUUGCUGCCAAUACCCAUCUUGUUGGAAUUGUUGGGGGUUCUCCCCACAUGUAAUCUGAAUAAUCUCUCCAAUCCGAAUUGUAAGCGUUGGAAAACAUGUUGUCCCAUGAUUGGUUAUGGCCUUGAUAACACAAAGCAUCUUCAUUCACAGCGAAUUGAGAACAUUGAUGAGUUGGAUAUCCUUGCCCAUAGGACACACCAUAUGUAGGGACACUUUGCAUUGUGGUCCCUUCGGCAUAUUGUGACAAUUAAGAAGUAAGUUUCGCCAAUUGAGCUUGAAUGGUAGCAAAAUCCAUGUCUUACUUCUCUAGUACCUGAAAUCAAGGAAACAAAACUAAAUCAAAUACUAUAAGUAAAAAUAAAAGACACAAAUAGAAACAAAAUCAGUAACUAAAACAAAAGACAUGAAAAAGAAACAACGGGGGAUUAGCAAAGUUGCUAAUCCCCGGCAACGGCGCCAAAAAUUUGAUGCGAAAAUUAACUUAACACACAAAUUAAACUCUCUUGUUGUCAACUUGUAGUAUAAAUGAAAGUAGGGAUCGUUCUAAACCGGGGAUUAGGAGGGCUUGCUAAAACCUCUAAACUGACUUAAAAACAUAUAAACAAAGUUAAAAACACUAAACUAGACUCAAAGAACUUAAAACAAACUCAAAGGACUCAAAACAAGCUAAAAACGCUCAAAUCUGCCUAAAAACACAAACUGGGUAGAUUUGGACUCUAACACACUUUUGGGACACCUAAAAACAUAAACCAAACAGAUUUUGACUAAUAAAACACUUUAAAGUAAAGGGGGUUUUGGUUUUGACGAAUUUGAAAACAAAACAAGUAAAUUAAAGAACUAAUGAAAUUUGCACGAAUUUGAGUAAAUUGAAUGGAUGGAAGGCUAGCUAGGAGGUUCUUCUCCACACAUGACAUACUUGCACAUAAACCAAUUUUCAGUUGUUCUUUCGAUCAAUCAUGAAACUCAACACCGCAGGUUAAUUAAGUUCACUUAAAUUAACCUUCAAGUUCUCCUUAAGUUUUUGAAUUGGAUGGGAAAACGCAUACAACAAUUCAAGCAUUCUUCAAAAGUUCUUUACGUGAACAGCACAAUAAAGAUACAAUCAAAGAUGAUUAAGCAUUAUGAAAACUAUAAGUAUUGACGAGGCACUCGUUACUAUGAUGAGCAUGAAACUCCUACCAAGAAUUUAUUUAACGCGAUCGUUUAUAAGCGACCUCCACUACUUGUGAAUAUAAGUUUAUAACUAUUAGGUGAAACUCCCUUAUACUCUAGCAUCAUAUUCAUGCAUGCAAACUAAGUGUGCACUCUUAAUAAACAUACACGAAUAAGUUAUCAAUCAAGCAGUUAAACAAAUUGAAUUCACAACUUAUGAAAUCACAACUGAAGGUAAUCAAAUCAUAUUGCAAGCAUGAACAUGGUUUCGAAUUCCCCCUAGCUAAGGGGGGUUUAUUUCCUCAUACUCACAAAGCAAAGAUAAACAAAUUUAGACAUUGAAAACAAAAGAAUGAAACACCUAAAAACGCUCCAACAAUCCAACUUGAAUGGCAAGCACGUCCAAGGGUCCUCCUUCUUCUCUUUGUUGUGGCACAAGGUGUGGUUUGAUGGAUGAGUGGUAAAUUAUGGUGGUGGAUGGAUAUAGGUGAGUUAUGGUGAAGGGUGGAUGGGUGGAUUGUGUUCUCUUGGCCAAGGAAUGAAAGUGUAAGUGUAUGGAGUGGAGUUGUGAGAUGUGAAUGUAGUGUCUUUUGAUGGAUCUUUUCUCCUCCCCCUUGUUAUGGUGAAGGGUGGAUGUAUUUAUAGGCUAGGGAGAGGACCACCAUCUAAUUAAGGUGGUAGUGGUGUAUGUUGUGGUAAUGAGUGGAUGUAAUGGGUGUAGUGGGUGAGUGUUUGGUAAUGAGUGGAUGUAAUGGGUUUAGUGGAUGAAUGUUUGGUAAUGAGUGGAUGUAAUGGGUGUAGUGAGUGGAUGUUUGGUAAUGAGUGGAUGUAAUGGGUGUAGUGGAUGGAUGUUUGGUAAUGAGUGGAUGUAAUGGGUGUAGUGGAUGGAUGUUUGGAGUUGUAGGUCAACACACUUGCACACACACAUGCUGAUUUCUAGCCUUCAAAUCUUCAAAAAUGUCCAUCCUCAUGUCUCCAUGCUUGCACUAUCCAAUCUUGGCCCAAAAAUGCUCCAAAAUGCUCCAAAUAGCACUUUGUUGCUAACUUUGUUAUUUGAACCUACAAACACACGAAAACAGCUUAAAAUACAUAAUUGACUAAGAAAUAACAAUAUAAAUGCACAAGAACAAGCUAACUAAGUCGCAUAAAUAUGCUCCUAUCAAGCACCAAAUUCAAUCAUUUGAGUGUAGUUUUAUUAAUUGGACCCUUUGUGUGCUUAGGUGCAAUUAAUUGUGGCGUUUUUGUCUUCACUAAUAGCAUGGCUUUUCGACGGCAAAGUAUCUGUGAGUGCACCCCUUCAAAAUGCAUGUUUUAAUAUUAGAAAUGCAUACAUGAAAAGUAUGAUUUAAUGAUUACGUUUUGUAAAUUGUUUUAUGAGUAAAUUAGAUUUACACUUUAUGCUUAUCAUGAUUUAUUGAGAAUAUUUUGGAAUACCAUACUUUAUUGAAUUUAUGUUCUUUAUAUCGAAUUUAUGUUCUUUAUAGUAUAUAUGAUGGAUGACUAUAUACUAUUUAUGAACAUGUUUUUACACUUCUUUGUAGUAUAUAUGAUGGAUGACUAUAUGCUAUAAAGAUGUUUUUUGAGAUAUAUGGAUUUACGUUGGAAAGAGUAUAUUCAAUGUUUUUGUGCUUAUCUAGUGGUCAUUGUUUUGCCUACGGGCAAAGAUACUUAUUUAUUGGCUUCGGGCCGGGAGAUGUUAGUAUUACGAGCAACUAUGAUACCACUACUUAGCACACUAUAUAUGUUGUAUGUUUUAUGAAGGUUUUAUGGCAUGCUAGGGUUUUCGGAAAACGUAUUACAUAUUAUGCUAUUGAGUUUUAAUAAAACUUUGGGAGUUAGUACGUUGAUAACUGUUUCAGUAGUUUAUAUAUAUAUAUAUAUAAACUUGGUCCACUCAUGUUUGUUUUGUGCCCGCUAAGGAUUUAGAAUUGAGGCAUACAAUCCUGGCGUCAAGGCACUUCCACAUCGGCAUCUUCGAGUCCCCUCGGUGUAGGACCCAUCCUUUUAUUCAUUCAAUUUUAUAUUAUUUCUUUUCUAGUGUAUAGAAUUAGUUGUAUACUCUGAACACGUUCCUCAUUUGCAUAUUAAUUACAUUGAAAUUUAUAAGUCUUAUUUAUUUCUUGUUCUCAUGCAUUCUAAUAUGGCUUCGUCACCUUCGGGAGUCGGUCAGCACGUGUCUACCCUGGUGUUUAGGAGAAUAUUAGGGUCGGGCGUGUCAAUAUUUCUAUAUACAUAUGUAGUAGUUGAGCAUUAAAGCAUUUAUUGUUCUUUUUUAUAAAUUAAAUGUCUUCCGGAUGAAACCAACUUGUUGGGAGAGAGAAAAUAAUGCCAAUGAAAUAUUCAUGGCGAUAAACACAUAUGGUUGAAAGAUAAAGAAAAAAAACCACAUAUGGCAAAAACGCAUUAUCUGUUGGCUAGAAAGCCUUGUACAGAUGAAAAUAUUUGUUGGGAAAAAUAGAAAUCCCAACAAAAUGGAGUCUAUCGAAAAAGUUGAACCUAAGCCUAUGGAGUACCAAAAUUCAUCGGGAAAACUCUUGCGCUACAUGCUUCACACAAGGAAAUGGCUGACAAAUUUUGACUUUUGUCUACAAUUUUUACUUUUGCCAACAAACUAAUUUUGUUGGUAAAGUCAAAAUUCCUAGUCCAAUAAUGAGCUGGUUUUCCUGUGAAAGUAGUGACCACUAUUUAUACAGACAAACAGUCUCUUCGAUUCUUCUAUUAGAAUCAUUCUAGGAAACCAACAUUGUCCCUCAAUUUUAAUAUAAGUGAGUAGUUUAGGAUUCAAUCUCAGUUUCAAUCGUAUAUAAAAUAAGACAUCCAAGUCUCUUCCAAAAAGACUUUUCUAAACCAAUUUAAACUCAACUAUCUAGCUCAGUUUCAACCGUAUAUAAAAUAAGACAUCCAAGCCUCUUACAAAAAGACUUUUCUAAACCAAUUUAAACUCAACUAUCUAGCCAAAAAUACACUUGUAGUUAUGCUCACAUUCAAACAUGAUAUUCAAACACAAUGAUUGAAUACCUUUUUCCCUCUCCAUAAUAUCAAUAGUAACAUCUUAAUUAUAAGUUCAAUCACAGAUUUAUACCAUUGCAGAUUGAAUCUUCUUUAGGGCUCAUCUGGAACCGAGUAUAAAAUUUGAGAAAAUUAAUGAAGCAGAAAGAAUUUUGUCAAAUAAGAUCACUAAAAUUUACGAAAAAACUAUAAAGUCUACAGGGAGGCGAGCACACAAGCGACCUUAUCUUCUUCAAUCUGUGACAUUGUGCGUGAGGCCCACCUAAACAGCCAAAACCACCAGUCCAGGUCCACCAUCUGUAAUUCCCACCUCACCAUCGAUCGACUACUAUAUGUACGCCCAAUCUUCUGCCAUUACCUGGGCCUCCUCUCUCUCUCUCUCUCUCUCUCUCGUGCAGAACGAGAAAACCUUGCUGUGAAAAAGAAGGCACAAACAAAGGAGCUUUGUCUAAACAAGAAGAACAAAAACUCAUUGAUUACAUUAAAAUGUUCUAGAGUAAGGAUUGUUGCAGGAAUCCAGGAUGCAGGGUUGCAUCAGAGUGCAAUUCACAAGCAUGUUUCAGAGUCUUAGUUUGAAGUUUUAUAAAUGCAAUCCAAGUUUAAUAGACGGCUAUGAUUGUAAUAUUUGAAUGGUGUAAAAGUUGUCAUCUGUCAUAGCAGCUGUGCAAACUGAACAUGUGCAGUCCACGUGAGAAUGCUUUGGAUCCAUGUCACGUGUGGAGCGUGUGAAGCUCCAAUGGUCUCUUGUUUUUCCAUGCUUCUCGGAUCUGCGUUCACACCAGAAUUGUAAGCCAACUUUACUGUCAAUGAAACAAUGAGAGCUAUGAACCUCCAUUCCUUCCUGCUCGGGCAGGAAAUCUCGCAGGGAGGGGUCCCUAGCUCAAGUACACAGCUCCCCGAGGAGUUGGCACUUUGGUUGAUUGUCAGGAUCUGGCUUGCCGAGAUGCUGUAAAAGGAGGACAAAGUUAGUUCUGAAAGGUGCAUUUGUGGGGCCUUAAGUGUAGGCCUUGAGGCUUACAAUCAAAACUAAGUGCUAAGGCAUGCCACUGCCAUCUCUGUAUGGCAGAUGUAGAACAAGUGUAUUUAAGCCGAUUACUUGCGUCCCAAGUUACUAUGACUUCUUGUUAUCAAAGGAUUAUCGUAGAUGAGUUAAGUCUACAUUAAGUUCUUUUCUAUGCCUUGAGAUCAAGGACUUUUAGUUCUUUAUCUUGUAUGCUUAAAGGGUGGAGAUCAAGAUCUGAUCAAGUCAUCAGUUUUAAUCAGUUUUAAUCUUCUUAUGACAAUAAAACCACUAAGUGAACCAGAUCUGAGAACUGAUGGAACUUUGGAUCAUCAAAUGACUGAAAAUGACUUGAAUAUGUACUGGGGAAUACAUUAUAACAACAAAUCUAUUAAUUGAAAGACAAAACAAAGAGAGACGGGCAAGAUUUUACCUUGUCAGGCAAGGUUAAACGUCUUGCAAUCUCUUUGUUGUUGUAGUUCUAAAGGGUUAGGUACUGAAAGAGGGAUGAAAGGUAAAUGAGUUUGCACAAGAGAAUCGAUACUACAACAUUUGGAGAAGGUAGAAGAGUUUUUACAUAGACAAAAGAUGUCUUUCUAAAGGAAGUCUAAGGCUAAAAGGGUGCAGAAUCUGGACAAAGCACAGCUUUCUGGAUAUUUGCUUGACUGAGAGGAAAGUUGUAUAUUUGUUUGUUUGAUUGGUUGAGUGUCCUUGUCUUUGAGCCCUCUUCCCUUAUUUAUAGGCGAAUUAGAUCGACUAUGUUGUUUCUGCUUUUACCCGAAAGCAACUGGAGGGUAGUGAGUCAUCAGCAUUUUUACAUGUUCUACCAUUCAGAAAAGUGCUUUUGGGUUGAGAGUUGGUUGAUUUCUAUCGGUUGUCACUUCCCUUGUAAGCACCUAACCUUUGCAUUAAAUGGGGAGCCAUCAUAUUGUCUCGAGAUAGGUAUCUGGGCGUGACUCUGGGCCUUGGGCAAAAUCUCCUCUAUUGAGCUCAUUUGGGCUUCCUUCCCUUUAAAUCCAAAGUUAAAUAUUAACCUAAACACUUCCUUUCUCUGAAAAUUUCUGCAUUUCUAUUUACUAAAAUAAUCAAUACAUUCAUCAUAUAAGCAACGACAUGGCCUCAUAGUUUGGUUCGAUUUGAAUCAAGGGGCAUUCACUGUGAAAUUUGAAUCUGAUUGAGGUCCAACGAAGAACCAGUUGGAUUGAGUAGCAAAAUGUUUGGAUCUGGAGAUAAGGUUCAAGCUACGUUGUUCACCAAAGUCAACUAUGACUUUUGGUGUAUCAAGAUAAAGACGACUUUCAAGUCUCAUAAUUUGUGGAAGAUUGUUGAAGAAGGCUAUGAACUUCCCGUAGAAACUGGAAAUUAACAGAUUGAGAAGAAGCAAAUUGUAGCUUAGGAUCUGAUUUGUCGUGAUGCUAGAGCUCUUGGCCGGAUUGAUUCAGAGUGCAAUAUUUGAUGAAUCUUUCCAAGGCUUACAAAUCAAGAGAUGGCUAAGGAUGCAUGGGACACCUUGAAGCAAAAGUAUAGAGGUGAUUCUCAGGUUCGAGAUGUGAAUUUACAAGGUAUUAGAAGGGAUUUUGAAUACGCUAGAAUGAGAAAAGAUGAGAUGCUAUCCACUUAUUUGACUAGAAUGUUUAAUCUGAUUAACCAAAUGAAAGUGUAUGAUGAGGAGUUGUCAAACAAGAGAAUAGUUGAAAAAUUGUUAAUAAGCCUUACUCUUAACAGUGCCAAUAUUGUCUUUGGGUUUGAGGGGACUAAGAAAUUUGACGAGAUUAAUCCUACUAAGGUUGUCGCCACUUCAAAACGAUUUGAGCAAAAGUUGCUUAGGCAUGAUCAGGAGAAAGAAAUCACUGAGAAAGCUUUUAGUAGUUUGCUCAUAUGUUCCAAACAUAGCUAACAAGAAAAUAGGUACAAAGGAAAUAUGCCUUGGAAGAAUAAGGAGAAGAAGGGAGAAUUUAAAACUGGUGAUAGAACUAGUUCAUUUGUCAAGCAUGGUGGAAAUAAGGAGAAUGCUAAGGAUGUAUACAAACAUUGUGACAAGCUACACUAUGGUACUUGUUGGUUCAAUGAUAAGCCAAAGUGUCAUAGAUGUAACAAUUUGGUUAUAUGACAAAUGACUGCAAUAGCAAGGUGAAUCGACUUGUUCAUCAUACUAAGCAUGUGAAAGAAAAGGCUUCAAUGUUCUAUGCUUGUCAUUCAUCUGAGGUUGUGAAGAACAAACCUAGUGUUUGGUACAUAGACAGUGGAUGUAGCAAUCCAUGACAUCACAUGAGUCCUUGUUGAUCAAUUAAUGUUGAUAAAUCUGUGACAUUCAAAGUGAAAAUAGGCACGUGGUGCCCUCCGUUUGCACAAAUUUUAUACCUAAAUGGUAGUUUUGGGCAAUGUCCCAUAAAUUGAUGAUUGAAGCUUGAUUUAGCUUAUAUUAACUAUUACAGGUUUAUUCGUGGAUCGAAAGGAUUUAGGCAAGGAGCCUAGUGGCAAGGGACGCUCUGCUUACCUGUGAGUGGACCCAUUCGAAAACUAAACAUUUUACGUUAUAUAUAUAUAUAUAUAUAUGUUAUAUAUGUUUUAUAUGCGGAUACAUAUUACUAUGUUAGUUUCUGAUGAGACUUGUUAUGAUAUUUGACAAUAUCUUUAGAUCGAUCGUUGGUGAUUUAUUUUCAUGACAUGGUCAUCAUGUGAUAUUUUGUAUAGGUAUCUUCGACCGUAGAUUAUUUGCAGGUGAUAUUUUAUCCUAGUAGACGCUAGGAUUAUUGAUUAUUAGUAGUAUUGAGUUUAGCUAGUUGACGAUAGUAUAUCCUGCUUGCUAUACUUAUGCUAGUGGAAGCCAGUAUGAUUGAGUUAAGGUACGAUUUCUGAACUUGGAUUGAAUGUUUUCAAUUGUAGAUAUUGAUGAGAUUUUCAUUAUUAUGGAAGUAGUUAUUAUUAUAUAAUAUAUGUUUUCAAAACAGGGCUGGGUUAUUAUGUUGAAUGAUGAUUUUAUAACUAUGAUAAAACGGGUCGACACAUGUUUUGUUUUAUCAACCCCUUCAGGACAUAACGAGAGUAAGGAGAACAUCAGUGGUGACGAGUGGGCUUGGCAGUGAAGCUUUCAUCCUCUGGAUCUUGAGUGACGGUUCAUUUACUGCAAUUUUACCUAUGGUGUAAUAAUGGUAUGAUCGUACCUUUGAUUAUGCAUAGUGCUGCACUUUUGUGUGUUUAAUGUUGUGUGCUUGCUAAACCCAAGUGCAGGUGUUGCAUAGCAGUAUAACUCGAAGUCCGAGUGUCAUAUUCCUCAGAGAGCAAUGAAAAAGAAUGAAGAAUUUGUCGAAACUGAAACAAAGAAUAAUGUUGAAUAAGAUGUAAUUUUUUAAAAGAAAAUCCAAUAAUAUAAGAGCACUAAGACAUUAGAGUUCCACCUUCAACAUACAUAUGUAAUUUCAUUAAUUUGAUUCUUUUUAUAACUCAAUCAAGAUUCAACUGAUCGGAUCAUAUUUAUAUAUAUUUUUACUUCAAAUUCACUCGUCUUUUCUUAGUUAGUUCCUUAUAUUUUUGAGCUAUUUACGUUAUUUUUGUGUUUAUAGGAUUUGUUAUAAAAAUGGCACAAAUCAGUUUUAAAUAAUAAAUUCGUCGAAAAUUGCUUUAGUCGUUCUCAUUCUGUCAUGGGUUAUUGGUAGAAUUAUGUCACGGAUUAUAGGUCAUGGAAGUUAGGCUAAAUUUGUUAGGUAUGCAUUAGAAAUUAUAUGGCGUGACAUCUUCCAUACCCACUGAUGAUAUACUUCCAUAUCCACUGAAUUCAGGUUGGUGCAUCACAUUUAUAUAUAUAUGAUAUAUCUAAAAGCUGGUAAGUGUGGUAGGUGAGAGAAGAAUAAAAGAAAAGUGUGAGUGUGGUGGGUGAGGCAACUUAGAAAAUCAUAAAACAAAGGGAUAAGAGGCAGGUCAGAGGGCACGGAAAGGGGAGAAUAAACUGACCAGGGGAAAAGGCUGCUUGGGGAGCGUGAGAACAGGGAGAGAACCGAGAGCUUGAGGAGAGAGCUGCCUUGCGGCAGCAGAAAACUAGAGCAGAGAGCUGCCCCGUGGCAGCUGUAGAAAAAACAGCGCGGAGAGAGAGGGACGGAAAGAAGCAGCCAAGCUGCCUUUGGCAGCUCAGAAGAAAAUAUAAUAGACUGACGGGGAGAGCAGCACGGAUAGGAGAGAGUCCAGAGGAAAGCUGCCAUUUGGCAGCUUGAGUAGGGGGAGCACAGCGCCAGGCACGGCUGACAAGCGGGGACUGAGGGCAGAACGUGCAGCAGAAGAAAAACAAAAGGGUCGUAUAUUUUCUCAAACUCAUGUUUAAUUUCUGGUUUAAUUUGAAAAUAAUGUGUAACUAAAUUUAUUUUGGCUAGAGGUUAAUUCAAAGCCAUGAAUAUAUUUGUAAUAUGAAUUGAUUACCUUCAAUUGUGAUUUAUAAGUUGUGAUUUAAUUUGCUUAACUGCUUGAUUUAUAACUUAUUUUUGUAUGUCGAUUAAGGAUGCAUACUUAAUUUACAUGCAUGAAUUUGAUGCUAGAAUAUAAGUGAAUUUCACCUAAUCGUUAUGAACUUAUAUUCACAAGUAGUGAAGGUUGCUAGUCACAAUCACGUUAAGUAAAUUCUUGGCAUAAGUUUCAUGCAAAUCAUAGUAACGAGUGUCUCGUCAAUGCUUAUGUUUUUCAUAGAACUUAAUGAUUCUUGCUUGUAUCUCUAUUAUGCAAUUCAUGUAGGGAACUUGUAGGGAAUGUUUUGGGUUGUCGUAUGCAAUCAUCCAACCCAAUAAUAUUGUGGAAAACUGAGGGUUAAUUAGUGCAAUUCACGGUUAAUUUGGGGCGUUGAGAUUUACAAUUUACUGAAAGAACAACUGAAAAUCAAUUUAGGUUGCAUAUGUGUCAUGUGUGGAGAAGAACCCUCUAGCUAAUCCGUCACUUAUCAUUUCACCUUAAUUUCAUGCUUUUGUCAAUUCUGUAAUUUAUUUAAGUUUAAUUUACUUCUCGUCAAAACCAAACCCCCCCCCCAUUAUUAAAUUAUAUUAUUUAGUUAGUUUUCAUUGUUGUUAGUCUUUUAAUUCAAUUUCCGUCAAUUUCAGUUCCUAGUGUCUAAUUUGAUUGUUUUCAUUAUUUUGAGUCAUUCUAAGUGUGUUUCGAGUUAUUAGAGUUUUUAGCCUAGUUUUGUGUCCUUGAGUCUUGUUUAAUAUUUUUAAAUUAAUUUAGAAUAGAUUAGCAAUCCCUCCUAAUCCCCGGCCUAGAACGAUACCCUACUUACAUCUAUACUACAAUUGUCAAAAAGAGGGUUUUAAUUUGUGUGUCAAGUAAUUUUACGCAUCAGCAACAUAUAGUGCACCCGAUUGGAUGAUUUGGCGAUCAUAAUUGUAUAUAAAACACACACAAAAUAUACAAAUUCUAACUAUGGUUAAUCCCAAUAAACUCAGUUGAAUUCCUUAUAGGAAGAAUUCCAAGCAUAACCUGUACCUCCAGCGCAAACUAUCAACAAAUACUUCCGUCGAAAUUACUAGAUAUCUACUCAUUUAUCUCAAAUCACAAAAGCAUGAAUGCUAAAACCAAACUAUAGGAAAAACAUGAUUGAACUUAUGAAUAGUAACCAACAUUCAUCAAUCGACAAAUAGAGAAAAACUAGAUAUUAAUUUGAACCAAUAAUAAGAGUUUAUCGUUGAUACUGCAAUUCGAAUCAAACUAAUAAAACCACAUAGUAGUUAAAGGUUUUCCUCCUAGUCUUAGCUAGGGAGAUUAGUUCUCCAUAUAACACAAUAUAGAAAAAUAAGAAACUCUAAAAGUUAUGAAAGAACAAGACUGCAUGGUUAUAUUGAGAUUGCCGCAGCCAACCCCCAUAACCCUCUUGAAUAAUGGUCAUUUAUAUCAACCCAUUAUUGAGCCAAUUAUAUCUCAGCCGUUCCUUGUUCUUUGCCUUCCCAUGUCUGUUUCCUUUUCUUUCCAUACCUGACAAGCUUAAUCACCAAUUUAUUAUCCUUGCCUCUUGGGUUAACUUGUUGCAGCCCCAUCUUCCUUUCUUCAUCUCACCGUUUAACUUCUAAGAAAUUGUAAUAAGUGACCUGACAAAAAGAUCAAGAUAAAAUGAAUAUCAAUCCUCAUGUAUAUUGUAAACCGCAAAAAGUGAACUAUAUACUUCAACCAAUGUCAUAAGGCGCUCAAAUUAAAUUAGACCACCUGAUUAAAUUAAAACAAAGGAUUUAUAACAUGAUUUUGGUCCAAUUCCUUAGCAUGACCAUAACAACACAAAGUCAUAUAAUUCCUUUCACUUAAAUCCAACAUAUUCUCAGAAAAUGUAACUUCCAGGGUGAAAUAAGGUAUGCACUCAUCAUUGACCAAUAUUACACCACAAUUUCCAUAAAUUACUAGAUAAAUUACAUAACAGGUAUAAUGAAAGGGCAUUAAACAUACUUUUGAGCAAUUAUCAUUGUGUGAAACUUCUAACUACUCUAAUGUGAUGUGAUAAUAACAUGUUUAAACUCGAGUUAAUUUGUGUCCCCAAUUGAGGAGGAUUACAAGUGAUUUCUUGUAGCAGCUUUGGAUUUUUUAUUUUUAAUGAACGUCUUUGGUUCAAAUUCUUACACAUCAUAAAUAUCUUGCUAUGGCUUCGUCAUUAAGUUAGCUUGUGACAUCAUCUCCAGAUGGGGUCAUAUGGUCAAUUUAGUGUCAGCCAGCACAUCACAGCCUCGUAAGUUGUGUUAUUGGGAUCGAGGUGUGUCACUGGAUUUUAGGAACCUCAAGACUUAUAAGGAUCUGAUUGAGUCCAUAUCCGGAUCAGAUCGCUUUCCUUGCGGAACAAACAUGGUCAUCCAGUAAAGUCGCUCAGACUUCACCUAUUGCCCCGGAAGAGGAUGAGGGCAACAACAACCUAUUCCCUUUGAGAAUGGAUAGUUAUCAAAGACCAUGUCUUUCAAAACUGAACUACGUGCUCUUUCUUUAUGUAGUGAUCCAAUUUCUUGUGGAGUAGAAGAGUCAUUUCGAAUUCAGAUGUGCAGCAUCAAGUACCGUGCCAUCAAGAUCGUAAUGAUUAUGUAUAUCAUGUGGGCACAUUUUGCAAGAGGUGGUCAUUCAUUUCUCUAAUUAGCUUCAAUCUCCACAUCCACUACUACAAAACCCUUUAUUAGUGCCGCUAUAAUAAAAGACGAGAAACAUAUAAUACUGUCGGAUAUUAAGCAAAAUCCGACAAAAAAUGGAUCCAAUGGCGGAUAUAAUAAGUGACAGAAUUGCCAGUGUCAGAAAAUGAAUUUUCCGAUAGAAAAUACUCUAAAACCGACAGAAAUUGUGUCGAAUAUAAUCGACAGAGAACUUAUUAAUAAUGAAUAAAUAAGAGUAUUCUCAAUUGGAUAAAACCGACAGAAAAUACUCUAAAAUCGACAUAACUUGUGUCAAAUAUAACCAACAGAAAAUUUAUUAAUAAUAAAAAAAAUAUAAACCCCUUUCUGAAUCAUUUUUUUCCCUUUCAAAUUGGCCUCCCCUGCAUUCACUGCAUUUCCCUUUCAAGAAUAACUGCUCGAACAUCACAGGAUGUAACAAUGGCUGAAUUUUCUGUAAGUAGAUAGCAAUUGGUUACUCCAAAGUCCAAACAUACAUUGAUAUAUAUGUUUUGUUUUGUGCUGAACACCCACAUAGAUCAAAUUAGCUAUGGAACUGGGCCAAAAAUCCUUCCAAGAGAGACACAAGCUGGGAUAUACAACAACGCGGGCAUCACACGAAGAAUCUGAAGGUUCCUGAAAACAUGGUUCAGAAGGUGAUAAUGUUGAAGCAAAUGUGGAUGAUGAAUAUGGUGAAAAGACACACUAGAAAAGGCAAAGCAAGUGUGAGUAAUACAAGGGUUUGCAUUUGAAAACAUAGACAAAAUAGAUGGCACGGUGUCAACUGGAGGACAGAACUUACAUCAGAUUUAGUUAAUCACUCCAAUACUUUUAGAUGAUGCUCCUAUAGAAAAAUAAUUUAGUACCUGGAAUAACUGCCUAAUUCAUCAAUUAAAAUUUACAAUUAGCAAUUUUUCAAAUUACCAUCUCAAAGACUCAAACCCAAAUAUUAUUCAAGGAGAUGUGUCUGUGCUUAAUGUUAUCCGUAAGACAAUAACAUGUGGCAAUUCACUUUAUUCACGGAUUCAUUAAAAUAAAAUAAAAUAAUUGGUCUAUCACAAUGUUGCAGGCUUAGUACAGUUUACAAGUCAUAUAACAGCAUAUACCACGCAUUUCAUAUACCACGUUUAAUGCAUUUCAUUUGUCAUUCAAAUAUUCACGUACACAAAUCACUAUCAGGAAUCGCUUCAAAACAAUGAUAAUGUACAGUAACAGCAUACCUCCGGGAUGGACGACCUGCAAAGAUCAGUUCACCUGAAAUUCAGAGGGAAUGACUUUUCUCGGUUAUAUGCAACGUUCCAAGGUUAUUCUUUGCCAAAAGGAUAAAAAAUAUCUGCCUGAGAACCCCAAGUUCCAAAGCGAACGAGCCUGACAGGAUUCAAGUUGAAUUCCAUCAACGGCAUCCGGCAAUCGCAAUCGAACAUGUGCCACCAGAUCAUGCAAAUUCACCACCAAAAUUAACGCCAAGGCUAUUAGCAUCAGGACCAACGACCUUAGCAAUAGUCUGGAAUGACAAAAAAAAAAGAAAAAAAGAAAAAACAGAGUUGUAUAUCGUUAGUAAACGGUUCCAUCCAAUUGGAGAGAUGAGCAGUUGCCAAUUUCAUCAGGAAUUUAGAACAAAAACUGAUCGUAAUACAAAUAAUUUAAAACGUACUGGUUUCGGAAUGUUGCUUCUCGAAUUGUUCAUCCAUGGUGAUUGAAGUGAGAAGGAGAAGGGGAGAAGAAAAGGAGAAGGAAAUGAGGAGAGGAGAAAAGGGGGAGGAAGGGAGGGAAUGGCGCAAGGAAGAGAUGGAGAGGUUUUAUUUUGGAAAUUUUUUUAUUACGGUUAAACGAAACAUUUUUUAAAAAAAAAUUGUUUCCUCGCUAAAAAAAUCCACAUUUAACGGUUUUGUCGAAUAUGGCCCCGAGCAUCACACCCUCAGAUCGGUUUUCUCCUCAAACUUUCGGUCUUAAGAUUCGAAAUCCAAAGCUAGUUCCCAAGAACCAAAUUCGUGCUAGGUUGGGAAUAUACAAUAAGGCUUACAAGGCUUACAUCCAAACUCCCUUGGAGGAUGAUGUUAUAGAAUAAAAUUAAAAUUUUCAUUGGGAUUGUCAGUUAUAACCGCCAGAAAAAAAAUGGUGGCAAAAAAUACCCCAAAAUUUAAAAUUCCCCCCACCCCACCCAAAUUUUGUUUUAAAUUUAAAAAAAUAAAAUAAUAAUUUUUUGGUUUAAAUAAAUAAAAAUAAAAAUUUAAAAUUAUUUUUUUUUAAAUAGAAUACCAAAAUAAAAAAAUUAAAUAAAUUUAAUUUCCAUUUUUUUUUUAAAUUUAAAAAAAAUAAAAAUUAAUUGUUUGGUUUAAUAAAUAAAUAAAAAAUACUUUAAAAAAAAAAAUUAAAAAUUUUAAAAUUAAUAAAUUAAAUUUGAAUUUUUAAUUAAAUAAUAGUUAAUAACCCAUGUAAAAUAUGCGAUAAAGAAACAAAAAGAUAAUUGUACAAUGAAAAUGUCAUGACACAAACUAAAUAUUGUCUAAUCAAUACUUGAAAACACAUAAAUAAAAAUUUAGCACAAAUUACUUUUCCCACUUCAAAAUUUAGGCAAAUUUAACGGAGAUAUGCAUUCUACGAAACUAGUUUCCAUGAUCUAACAGUCAAACUUGUUUGUAGAUACAACAAGAUCUCAUACGUAAAAAAUCGCAAAAAGAAAAAAAAAAAACAUUCAGAGAUUAGGUAACGGAACAAAAGUUUUCGACAGCUAUAAACAAAAAAACACAAUUUAACGGUUAUUUUAGCUCCGAUUAUGAUGAUUCUUUUACAGCUACACUCCUUGACCCUAAGAAUGCAAUGAAUGAAUUCGAUCUUCAAUUAGUAGAUGCCAUAAAAUCUUAUUUUAUACUUACUGGAAGUAUAAUAUUAGCUCUAAGUGUUUGUUUAAUCUACCGCUUUGACGCGAUAUGCAUUCUACUUUUUCAACGAAACAUCAAACUUAUUUUACGUACGAAUUUUCAUUAAUUUUAAAUUCAAUGAAAUUUUUUUUUACUUCGAUUUUAAUGAUUUUUUACAGCUACACUCCUUGACCAUAUAAGAAUGUAAUGAAUAAAUUUGAUCUUCAAUUUAAAAUAUUUACACUACUGGAUAUCUUAUUUUAUACUUAAUGAAAGUAUAACAUUAACUUUUAAGUGUUUAUUUAAUCUACCGUUUUAAUGCGAUACACACAUUCUAUGAAAAUUUUUUCAAUGAUCUAACCAAAUCAAACUUGUUUGUAACAACUCCGAGAUCGCAUAUAUUAAAAUCACAAAAAUAAAACAAACUUUUAGGUAACAGAACAAAAUUUUAAUGAAAUAAAUUUAAAAAAAAUUUUUACUUUUAAGAUAAAGAUUUUUUUACAUGGUUUAUAAAAUAUAAUUGAACCAAAAACAAUAAUAUUUAAUGGAUAAAGUAAAAUCUAAUUUUUUAAUGGUUAUUUCCAGCUCCGAUUAUUUAAUUUUUAACAACUACAAUCCUACCCUUAAGAAUGCAUUGAAUUCGAUCUUUAAAAUUUAAAAUAUUUACAACUAGUGGAUACCACAAAAUCUUAUUUUAUACUUAAUGGGGAAGUAAUUAACUCUAAGUGUUGUUCAAAUCUACCGUUUUGAUGCGAUAUAACGAAAAUGUUUUUCAACGAUCCAACCGUCAAAUUUGUUUGUACACACUCCAAGAUCGCAUACGUAAAAAAUCGCAAAAAACAAACAUUUAGGUCAGGAUUAAAACGAACAAUUUAAACGAUUACAAAACGUUUUUACGAUUUUAGAUUACCGCUACAAAUAAGAAUGCAAUGAAUGAAUUCGAGCUUCAAUUUAAAAUACUUACUCUAGUGACAUUAACUCUUAAGUGUUUGUUAAAUCUAUCAAUUUGAUAGGAUAUGCAUUCUACGAAACUAGUUUCAACGUCAAAUAAAUUCGAACAUAGCAUUUGUAAAAAAAUCGCAAAAAUAUGAAAAAAUUUCAAAUAACAAAAAAAAUAUUUCAAAAAAAACAUAAAAAAAAAAAAAAAAUAUUAUUUAGAUUAGGUAAUGGGACCAUGAGUGAAAAAAAAAUUCAGAGAUUAUUCUGGUUCGAUCUGUUAUAUCCGACAGGGUCAUGAGUGAAAAAAAAAUAUUUAAACCAUGUGUUUAUUUAUUUAUUUAUAAUCAAUAUAACAUUUUUAAAUAAUAAAAUAAUCAAUUUCUAUCGGUUAUAACCACCACUGUUAACUUAAAAACCGUUGGAAUAUGUUAAAAAUAAUUUAAAAAAAGAAUUCAUAAAUACUUGCGGUUAUAACCGACAUUAUUUCAUUGUUAUCCGACACUAAAUAUCCGCUAGGAAUUUAUGUCGUAUAUAACCGAUAGGAUUUCAUUGUUAUUCAACACUAAUUGAAUGAUGUGUCAGAUAUAUUUUAUCCGACAUAAUGACUUAUUAAAUCGCCACCAUCAUCUGACACCUGAAGCUAAUAUUGUAGUAGUGAUCCACCAAUCUCGAGGCAAAGUCUUUUAGUAUUCAAUGGUUGGAUCGCUUGGCACUUUGCCGUUAAAUAGCUCCCUCUAGGAUGGGUUUCAUAAAACCUUCCAUUCUCCUGCCAACACCAUGGAGCCUCCUUUAUUCCCUAAUCUCCUUACUAAGCCUAGUUCCUUCUUCGAUCAUAUGAGGUUUAGGAUAUUAAAACCAAAAAACCAUGUCUUUGCUAACAACCUAUGCCUAAAAAGAUUAGCCAAAAACAAGUUGAGCCAUAAUCCUAUAGUAGCAUCCCUUAUUUCUCAUUAUUUGUUCCAUAACAUUCAUUCUUAUGCAAUAUCCUCCUUGCAAUCUUUGCAUGCGGGUUCAAUCUUAGCAAAGUGUUGAGAUUCUUCAGGGGGUCCUUCAUCAUUGCUUUCUUCCUCAUAUUUGGGAGUGGAUGAAGGUGACGACUGAUCUUCCUUAGAGUUGAUGAUCUCGACCAAGUUUGCUCCAUAGUCUUUGUAGGUAAGUCUUUUACGUCAGGGGUGAGAGCUUGUCUCCCCCAAGUUGUUGUACUUUGUUGUGCCUUUCUCUUGGGACUUUGAUAAUAAACAUGUGUUUGAAUAAAAACUUAAAAGUAAUUGGGCUUAAAAAAAUCUUAAUCUGAUAAAUCUCAAAGUAAACAGUUUUAGAGAAAACAAGUAACAAAGUGGAAUACGAGUAAGUUUGUGGGCAUGGGAAAGAACUCAAAAGCACCCCUCAGUAAAGUUGAUUCGAAAGAACAUUAUCUCCCAAACUUAGUAUCCAUAAAGGUUCUCACUGCAAUAUCCAGAGUACCAUCUACUCGAGUACCAUGAAUUAAAUAAUAAACUUGUGAAGAAUCUUUUACUCUGUACUUGUCAAAUGCAUUUAUCGGAUUAAAGAUACGAAAACUUUGAGUUGUACUUGAAAUAAUUCCAAGAAGAACAAAACAAUUUUUUUUACCUUGCCCCAGUUCUUAGAUCAAGGAUUCUAAUACCUAAAAUUGGUGCCUAAGGGAAGAUUUUUGCAUUAGCCCGAAUUGCAUGUCCAUCACCGGUGAAGCCUAGAAAAAAUUGCUUUGAGGGCUUAGUCGUCGGCAUGUGGGUCGGAAACACUUUUUGAAUCCUUUUGUCAAACCUUAUGUGUCAGACCUAAGCAUUUCCAAUUGGACUACCUUGAAUGGUGUGUUCAAAGCUUUCUGCAUAUCGAAGAUCGUUUGGGAUAAAAUUCCACAUGGGGAUUGCCUAGUUUGGAUGACCAUUUGAACCUGCUAAGAUAUGAUGUCGCAGAACAUACUUAGUAUGUUGGUCUAGGAUAGAAGUAGUCGUACUUAGGGGUCAGGGUUUAGAGCCACCCUUGGAUGAUUUCUAGAUUGCCCAAUGUUGUAGAGCCUGUUUGAAUGUUAUAACCCACAACCUUACUGGUUGUACAAACUUUUUGGACGCCGGAUGGUGCACUGGACUCAGGACGCCAUGAGCCCCCAGCCCACCAAUUGUGACCACACUUAUUACAGUUCGAGUCUCCUAAGCUGCUAACUGUAUUAUACAAGAUGAGUUAAAGGAAACUCCUAUGACAAAGUCACUUUGAAUUUUUAGGUGCGAAGUUUUCAAAGUUUAUGCUUUAUUCGAAUGAGUGAGGUAUUCCUGCAUCACCAAAAAAAGGAAAGAAAGACACAGACAUAAAACAGAUUAACUGUAAGAAAAUAGUUAUUAUACACUUUGAAAUACAAUAGCAUUACAAAAUGUGGGAAGCCCAAAACUAAAGGUAGGCCAUGAUAAGAAAACAUAGUACAAAGGCCAAAAAGUAAAAUUAGAAGAUGUCACUAGUAGAAAAAAGCUCAUCUAUCACGGUCGAUGCCUGUGGUAGAUUGUAGUCCACCACGGACACUGUGCCCGUUAGUAAUCUGGAUGUGAUAGAAAGUCACAGAUUCUAUCACGGGUUAUGCCCGUUGUCAAUUGUAAUAUAACCACGGAUUGGGUCCGUUGUAAAAGCAGAUCUAACACCACGUGCACCAUAACCGUUGUGGAUUACAAAUUGAUCACGGCUAAUGCCCGUUAUAAAAAAAAUUUCAAAAAUAAAAAAAAAAAUUAAAUAUUGUUUAAUAAAUGUAUUAUAUAAUAUUUAUAAACAAAUUACUCAUUUACUACAAUAUAACAAUUAAUAAAAAAAUCAUAGAUUCAAACAUUACAAUCAUACACUAAACUAAAGCUAACAAAAAUAUGAUGAGAUAUACAAAGAAAUACCAAACUAUCCAGAGAUCUUCAACAAAUAAGGACAUUGUCACUUUGAAGACUUCACAUUUCUUUGAACACCUCCAAACAAAGGACCUUGAGAGCGAACUACUGCCCCUAAUGCUUGAGCCUCAACAAUUGUUGCCUCUCUCUAUCUGCAUGGACAUAAGCAUAUGGAUCAAGAAAAAAAAUCUUGUACUUGUAUAGGUAGAAAUAUACAUUUGAUCUCAAUCAAGAAAAGUGAAUAGAACUCUUGAAAAAAAUAUAUUAAGGGGGGUCCUCUGAGAAAAGAUAAACACAUGAUAGAUUAUGAAUCUACUAAACAGAGCCACUACAUAUAUAUUUAUGCAAAUAUAUACCAUACAAGAUUAGCCAACCCAAUACCAUAAACAAAGAUUUUGUUUUUAUAAACAUAAACAAUAGGAACCAAACCAAUGCUAUAAGCUAAAUCAUUAAUUAGCCCAGAAAUCAAUAUCAAGUUCUUACCUUGUCUGCAAGUUCUUUGUGCAAAUAAAAAGGGUAAACUGCAAAGCUACAAAAACCACAGUUUAGAAAACAUCACUGAAAAUUUGUAUUAAAAACUCAAACAUACAAAAACUACAUGUGGAAAAAAGUGCUAGAACGUAUCAAAUUUUGAGACUUGAAAUAUUAAUUUCAUUAGACGACUAAUUCACAAUUCGAUGAUAAGGAUGAUUAAGGACCAAGAAGUGGAAAUUUGAAUCACAAGUUGGGAAUGGAAUAUGUUUAUUCCCCAUGAGGGGAACACAGGUUUUUUUUUUUUUUUUUUUUUUUUUUUUAACUCAAUGAUUUCAGUUGUCAAUGUGAGAAAAGUUCAAAGUUUAAACAAGCAGGCAUUCAAAGAAUAGAGUACAAAUAGUAGACUCAGAUUUAACUUCACUUUUACACAUUUAUGCACUACCUAAAACUAGCAUGCAUUGGAGUGUAUAAGCUAAACUAAAUAAAAACUCGGUGUUUUAAGAUCCAUCAUAUACAAUUAUAUCCACCAAUAAUAUACGGACUUUAGAGGAAACUCAAGACUACAAAAUGAGAUUUCGUAAGCUCUUUCUUACACUCAUACUCACUCUGGAUAUUUCUCAAAACGGGCACUAAUCCACAGAAGGAACUCGAAGCAAAAAGCCCAGAUGAAGAAAUAAACUUCUUCACAUUGAUUCCGGAUUUCAAUCAAAGAUUCAAGCACGCCCUUUGUCCAAUACCCACUCUGGCAUUCCUUCAAGCACAUGGUGGGUACUUCGUAAUUACAAUCAACUCCAUCAUACUGAAGGAAAAAUUUUGUCCUAGCUAAGAACAAGUAAGAACAUUUGAAUACAUAUUGAUGCGAAAUAUAUAAGCACACAAAUUAAACCCUCUUUUUAUCAAUUGUAGUAAAGUAUGUAAGUAGGGAUCGUUCUAGGCCGGGGAUUAGGAGGGAUUGCUAAAUCACUUGGAAACUGACUUGAAAACGUAAAAACAAAGUUUAAAACACUAACUAGACUCAAAGAAUGCAAAACUAUACUUUAAAACACUAAAACAAACCAAAAGACUCAAAACAGCCCCUAAACACUCAAAACUACCUUAAACACACAAUCUGGGCAGUUUUGGGACUCUAACACAAACUUGGACGAAUUUUGGUUUUCUAAUGAACUAAAACACUUAAAAACAUAAUCUAAGACAAGUUCUAAUUAAUAUGACUCAAAGAAAUAAGAUGGGGUUGAUUUUGGAAGAAAAUACUUAAAUUAAGACAAGAACAAAGUAAACCAAAUUCUUAGACAAAUUUAAGUGAAUCAAAACAGAUUGUAAAAUGAAUUUGAAUGAAACUUAUGGAUGGAAGGCUAGCUAGGAGGUUCUUCUCCACACAUGUCACACUUGCAUACAAAACGAUUUCCAGUUGCUUUUUGAUAAGCUAUGAAUACUCAACGCCCCAAAUUAACCGUGAAUUGCACUAAUUAACCCUCGGUUUUUCCACAAGUUAUUGGAUUGGAUGAUUGCAUACGACAACCCAAAACAUUCCCUACAAGUUCCCUACAUGAAUUGCAUAAUAGAGAUACAAGCAAGAAUCAUUAAGUUCUAUGAAAAACAUAAGCAUUGACGAGGCACUCGUUACUAUGAUUUGCAUGAAACUUAUGCCAAGAAUUUACUUAACGUGAUUGUGACUAGCAACCUUCACUACUUGUGAAUAUAAGUUCAUAACGAUUAGGUGAAACUCCCUUAUAUUCUAGCGUUAAAUUCAUGCAUGAAAAUUAAGCGUGCACUCUCAACCAACAUACACAAAUCAUUUUUUAUACGAUCGGAUAAGUAAAUUGAAUUCACAACUUAUGAAUCACAACUGGAUGUAAUCAAAUCAUAUUGCAAGUAUGAACAUGGUUUCGAAUCACCCCCUAACUAAGAGGGGUUUAGUUCCUCAUACUCACAAAGAAAAGAUACAUAAAAUUAGACAUUAAAAUCAAAGGAAAGAAAACACCUAAAAUGCUCCAACUUGGGUAGCAAGUGCAUCCAAGAAUUCUCCUUUGCUUGCUUGCGGCAGAUUGCUUUGUGGACGGAUUUUUGGGUAGUUUUAUGAUGUAGAAUGGAUGGGGAAUGGUAUGGAAAUGUUUAGGGUAAGUGUGGAGGAGUGUUUGAGGGUUGGAGGGUGGUGGAGAACUAGGCAAAGAGGGUGGAAGAAGGUGGAGUGGCUGUUAUGUUUUUCUAGGCACUAGAAUGGUGUUUUUUGGGGUGUUUUUGCUACCUAGGGUGAGUAUGGACGAAUUUCUGUGAUGAAUGGUGAAUAUGAGAGUGUGAACCCUUUGCCAAGGGGUGUAAACAUGUAUAUAUAGGCCCCAAAAACCUUAGAGAAUCAGGUUAGGCUAGGGAGAAUGCACGGCAAAGAGUGUAUGUGGUGUGCAAUGGUCCAAGGGUGAAAAUGAAGUGAUGAUGCAAAGUGUGAAGGGUAAAAUGGAGUGGUCUUGUAGCUAGGGGCAUGAAUGAUUGUGUACGUUGCAUAGAGAUGGAAAGGGAGGUGAAAAUGUGUCAAUAAAUGGGUUAAAGGUGCAGCAACAUGUGGUACACAAGGCAUGGGAUUCCAAAUGUGAAUGAUGGAGCAUCAAUUGGUGCAUGUUAUGGUUGUGAAAGUUGUAUAAAAUUUUGUGGGUGAAGGGAACAAGAGGUAUCAAGCAAUUAAGUGUAAUAAUUAAAUGAAUUGAAGCAUAAGAUCAGAAAUUAUGUAGGGGACAAGAGUGAUCAAGCAUGGCAUGGGAAUCCAAAGGGAAUUCUAUGUUGUUUUGCAUGGCAAUGAAGGCAAGUUAGGGUGACAAAUUUUUGGGCUGAGUUCUUCAUCUUUUGGACCAUAAUUCUUCACAUUCUUGGCCUCUUUAGUUCUCAAAUUCGUCCAUCCACUUUGGCCCAAAUAUGUGACAUGCAUUCCAAGCUCCAUUUUGCUCCAAAAUGCUCCAAAAUGCAUCUUCUGCCUACUUUGUCCAUAAAAUCUGAAAACACACGAAAAUGACUUUAAACAUUAAAAUAACUAAGGAAACACGACAUAAAUACACAAGAACAAGCCAACUAAGUCGCAUAAAUAUGCUCCUAUCACAUAUGCAAACUAUUAACACAUUAAAGUAGGCAUGCAUUAAAAAACAAUUCAUAAAACCCAUGACUUUCAAAGCCUAGUGAAUGGUGAACCAAAAGACUCUUUAACAACAUUAAAGAGAAUGAAGAAUUUAAAGAUUCUUUACCCUUGAAGCUCAUCCUUGUUUACACAAGGGAUUCACCCAAGUGGAGGGCCUUCAAGUCACCUCCAAGCUCCUUGGAUCUUGCUUGUGAUUUCCUUCUCCUUUUGUGCUCAUUUGGUCCUUGAGGAUGUGAGGAAAGGAUCUCCAAAACACCAAAGGUUUGGUGUCUCUAAGUCUCCACACCAAGGGUGAGGUGUGAAGAUGAAAUGGAUGACUUAGAGAAGAAAAGAUUGCUAGAUAAAUCUCCUCUAAGUGGCCGGCCUCCUUGUUGAAAAAGAGAGAAUAGGUUUCACCUCUUUUCUACAAGAAAAACCCUAAUGAGAAAAAUAACUAUAAAGUUGCUUUUAUAACACUUUUCUUAGGUGAGUGGCAAACUUGCAAUUAAGCAAACCUUCACCCUCCCUCACCAUGGCCGGUCUAUUUGUUGUGAUUGGGCUUAUUGCCCAUUUUGUUUUAGUUGUCAUACAACUUAAACAUAAUGGGCCUUGUGGACCAAAACACUUUUGGGCCCCGAAACCCAAAACCAACUUAAAAGCCCAAUACGAACCUUUCGUAAAAUUAAUUAACUAAUUAAUUAAUCUUGACCAUUCUUCAAUUAAACCAUUUAAUUGCAUAUCCAUUUCAUUUAAUUUCUUCACUUUCAUCCUUACUCGGUGUACGAUCCAUUAGGUUCCAUUUAGCUAGGUAGUGGGCGAUUGUUACUCUUAACGAUCGAUUGUGAAUUGAAACCACAUUUCAAUUCUCCCUUAAAAUUAGUGUUUGCUAAUCAUCAGGGCUUCCACAAACCAUGAGUGACACCUAGCAGCAUGUCAUGGUUACCCAAGCUAAGUAGAAUUGGUUGGAGAACCUAUCCAGUUACAACUACAAUGCAAUACGGUCAUUCUCUAAUACAAUACUCUUAAUCACAUUGUUUAAGUGAUAGUUUGUUUCAUGUCUACUAUCCAAUGUGAUACUUCUUCAUAUGAUUCUUUUGAAUAAGAUUUGGAACAAACUUCCUAAGUCAUAUUCAUAUGCUUUGGCCAAAGACUCUCGAAUCACAUCUUAAAGUAUUCUCCUUCCACCAUGGAAGGUUAGAGAUCCCUUGUUGUGCAUUCAUAUGCCUACAUGACUAGAUAGCUUGACCCCAACAAUGCCGUGGACACUCCAAUGGAAUGCCUUUGACAUGAUCAAAGGUCAAGGACCUAACCAUUAGACAUCUAUGAUGCCUCAGGUCAAAGGACUACUUUGCAUAUUGCAACUAUCGAGUUCUUACAUGACAUGUAUGUUCAAACUCUCUUUUGAUCGUAGUUCAGUGUACUCGAUUACUCUUUCGAGCACCUAUGUGUUUGUCUUAGUGUCCAACACCAAAUGACUUGAGACUAGUCAUACUCACGCUUGAGUCGACAUAACACAUACUAACCUUAGCGGAUUGUCAAUGCCCAAUUGGCAAUCCUAUGGCUAGGAACGUUUUAGGAAUGAACAUAAGAGAAAGGUCUCGAUAAUCUAACUUACUUAAAUCACUUGUCUCUUAGAUCAAAUACAUCCCUUGGAUUCCCUUAUUGCUUAAGCACAUGAUACAAUAAAUAGUGAUUAACAAUAAGCUUUGCCUUUCAUUAAACAUAUAAAAGUUUAAUACAAUAAGUAUUCCGAAAGCUAUUACAUCAAAUAAGUGGCUUUGUGGGCAUACUUCCAACACAUACAUGCUAUAUAUUUAUCAAAACUAGCAGAAACCACCAAUACAAAGGCAAAACAGAAAACCCAGAAGAAAACUAAAGCAACCCAUCAAAUCAAACACGAAGACAGCCUGUAUCAACUAACACUAAAAAUAAGUAAGAACUAACACUAAAUUAGAAAACUUACAGAAAUCCCAAAACUGAAAGUUUUUAUUUUGGAAAAACACUUACACUGGAUGACAGCCCACGAGGAGACGGUCAUUUUUACCUGUUAGGUCAAGGUCCAAUUCUGGUAGGCUUGGCCGGAAAUUGGCAGAAAAACACACGGUCACCAUUUCUUGGAUCUAAAAUUGAGGAAAUUCGGCUACAAAUUUGUAGAAACUAACUUGGGGGUUGGAAAAAGGACAGGAAGAGCAUCCUGGAGGUAUAAUUGAGGGUUGUUGGUGACAUGUGGACAACAUCGCUAUUGCGUGAAAGAGAUGAGGAAGAGAGAGGAUACGAGAAGGGGUAGAGAGAGAAUUAAGGUGAGAGAGGGGAGUUCGACGUUCGUCUCAAAGAAAAAGAAAGGGAGAGAGAAGAGUCGAGUGUUGGCGUUUGAUCUGAAAUUGGUAGACAGGGUAGACGAAUCCUGAGCUUGGAAAUAUAUAACCUCAUUGAUAAUAGGAGGAAUAUGAAGAUACUUGGCAUUUCCGCUACUAGAAUUAUAUAAGAUGGAUCUUUUAUCAGAGGUAACCAUAAGAAGCUCGUCACUUUCACAAAAUGUCAAUAAAUUGUCAUUGCCUUUAAGGGGUCCAACAGUUAGGAUUUUUGUCCAUGAACUCUUAACUCCUUCAUAGUUGUCCAUUACCCAUAUUUCAAGUACUUCCAAUAAUCUAGAAUCCUCACAUGGAUUGUAAGGAGAGCAAAAUGAAGCAAUGGAUUCAUUAUACAGAAACAUAUUAUCAAACUUAAAACCAGAUUCCCUUCUAGAAGGCAAUUGUAUUAUAUGAAAUUUCUCAUCACCAAACUCAAAUGAAAGUACGUAUUCCUUGCCAUCACUUGCGAACCAAUAACAAAGUAUGCAAUCCUUGCCAUCACUUGCAAACCAAUAACAAAAUCCCUUCAAGUACACUGAACACGAACAGUGGUAGGUAUAACUUGAUAUCUUAAUCUUGAUGGGUGUACACCUCAGCCGUGUGAGGAAGAUCAAUACAACAACAACAACAAAUCCUUUUCCCACUAAGUGGGGUCGGCUAUAUGAAUUCUAGAACGCCAUUGGGCUCGGUACUGUGUCAUGUCCUCCGUUAGAUCCAAGUACUCUAAGUCUUUUCUUAGAGUCUCUUCCAAAGUUUUCCUAGGUCUUCCUCUACCCUUUCGACCUUAGACCUCUGUCCCGUAGUCGUAUCUUCUAAUCGGAGUGUUAGUAAGCCUUCUUUGCACAAGUCCAAACCACCGUAACCGAUUUUCUCUCAUCUUUCCUUCAAUUUCGGCUACUCCUACUUUACCUCGGAUAUCCUCAUUCCUAAUCUUAUCCUUUCUCAUGUGCCCACACAUCCAACGAAGCAUCCUCAUCUCCACUACACCCAUUUUAUGUACGUGUUGAUGCUUCACCGCCCAACAUUCCAUGCCAUACAACAUCGAUGAUAAUAUUUUUGCUCAUCAUCUGAAUACUCACAGUUUUCUAUUAUUUUCACAACCUUGUAUUCUUUAGUUUUGCAAUCAUAGCCAAAUCCCAUUCCUUGAAAGGUCGAUUCCAAUUCGAACUUUCCCUCGGGAGGGAAAGGUAGAAGAAGGCAAGAAUCUGGAAGUUGCCUAAACUCCCUUGUUACAGGAUUGUAUAAAAGAGCGUUUUCCUUACUAUUAGACAGACAAUCGCAUUGCAAUAACUGAUAUUCAAUACAUGAUCAUGAUCUUCCAAUGGAAACGGUAUAUAUUUAGGUUUUCAAUAUCAUAAUGAAGGUUGUGCUCUUCACUAUCAAUGAAAAGAUUAAUCAUAGACCAGAAAAAUUCUUGUUUCCAACUCUGGUCUGGGAAAAUGUGACCUAAGAACGGUUGAGAAGGAUACCAUUGGAGGAUGAGAGUUUGUUGUCCAUGGAACUACUGACGUGUUUGGCAACAAAACUUAGACUAUUGAUACGGGUGCACCAAGACUUGUGUAUGCAUUUGAAUCGCAUCAGAGAUUUGGGUGGUAACCUAGAUAUGAUUUCAACCAUCCUAUCUUCAAGAGUUUCACUUUCAUGCACCAGGGACAUUCCACAGGAAAUCUUCACACAUAUAUGACAUAUGUUGCACAAAAUCAGUAGCGACUUUGGUACAAUAGAAAAUGUAAGUUUGUGACCUUCACUAGAUUGCUCUGGUUACUAGUGUGGAUAAGUAUGUAAAUGGAUAGAGACAGGGAAGCAAAGACAAGAUGUACGUGGUUCACCCAGAUUGGCUACGUCCACGGAGUAGAGGAGUUCUCAUUAAUUGUGAAGGGUUUACACAAGUAUAGAUUCAAGCUCUCCUUUUGUGAGUACUAGUGAAUGAUUUAGUACAAAUGACAUUAGGAAAUAUUGUGGGAGAAUGAUCUCCUUUUAUAGAAGAGAGUUUCUAGCUUUGUUUUGACAUUGACACGUGUCAUGUUGUGAUUGGCUUCUGAUGUUGACACGUGUCUCGUUAUGAUUGGCUUCUGAUGUCGACACGUGUCGUGCUGUGAUUGGCCUCCUGGUUGGAGUGAAACUUUUCUAGGUCCUUGACGGUAUAACGUUGACCUGUGCUCAGUAAUUUUGGGAUUGGUCAAGUAUGGUACAAACAGUGCUCCCUUAAGUUCCCAAGUGAGGGAAGCUCCUUGGUUGGGGACUUGCAAGAUCCAAGCCGCUGAGUAAUCACAAAACUUCUAAGUACCGAAGUGUGGUAUCGUCUUCACUUGCCUUAUCUGUCUCAUAGGUAGAUGUGGCAUCUUCUCUAGAAGUACUUUUCCUCCAUCCAGGGGUGGUGUCUUUAACUAGUGAAGAUGCACAAGGUAAUGUAUCAAUUUGACUUGAAGCUUACUUGUAGUUUCAGGCUUGGUCAAGCGCGAUACAAACCAUGUAGUAGGAGUGAUAGGAUCAUAUUUAUAUAUAUUUUUACUUCAAAUUCACUCGUCUUUUCUUAGUUAGUUCCUUAUAUUUUUGAGCUAUUUACGUUAUUUUUGUGUUUAUAGGAUUUGUUAUGCAAAGAAAAUAAAAAUGGCUAAAUGAUUUUUAUUUAUCAAAAACGUGGCAGUGUGGUAGGUGGAGCUGGAUGAGUGGAUACCAUCUAGAAGAAUAAGUGCAGCUGGUAGGUGAGGGGAAAAGAAGAAAUAAAAAAAAAAGAAAGGGUGAGGCAUUAGCCUCGGAAGUGAAAAGAAUAAGAAGCAUAAAAGCUUCUGGGAAAGGGGGAAGAGAGGAGCUGCCCUUUGGGCAGCUCGCACAGACGCAGGAAGGAGGCGCGGACAGAAAAGAAAAGAAAAGCUGCCUUUGCAGCUGAGGCUCGGGGGGAGAAAGAUCAGAGCUGCCAUUUGGCAGCUGGUGCGAGAAGAAAGAAAACCAAGAAGCAAAGGAGCUGCUUGGCAGCUCGGCAGAGGAGGGACAGAAGUCAGAAGGAGAAAAUAUAAAGGGGGCCUCGGUGAGGAGGGGGAAGAACAGAGAGCUGCCCUUGGCAGCUUGAAGAAUAAAGAAGGAAUAAAGGCUGCACCUUGCAGCGACUUGGAGGAGGUUGCUGAGCAGAAAAGCUGCCUUGGCAGCGACUUUCAAAGCAGGAAGACAAAACAAGAAGCUGCCCUCUUGGCAGCUUGAAACCGAGAGAAAAGCAGCAAGCUGCUUUGCAGCUUUCCUUGCGGUGCAGCAAAGACAGAGAAGGGCGCUGCCCUUUUGGGCAGUUCUUGUGCAGCAGGUGAAGAAGCUGCUCCAAGCAGCAAGUGAGGGAGGACGCGAAUAAGGGCUGCCAAUCAGCACAGAAGAAACAAAUCUGCCACUUGGCAGCACGUGGACAGAAACAGAAGCUGCAAGCCUCUUCUCUCUCGGUUAAAUCUUUCCAACUUAUGUUUUACUUUUGGUUUAAUUUGAUAAUAAUGUGUAAUUAAAUUUAUUUUGGCUAGAGGUUAAUUCAAAGCCAUGAAUAUAUUUGUAAUAUGAAUUGAUUA